CCCCCCCCCCCCCCCCCCACUUUUCUCUCAGCAGGAGCCCGCCGCCAUGGACGCCUCUGCCUCACGCUACCCACCGGAUCUGGUUCUCCAGGGCGGGAUCCGCCCGUUCCCGGCCUUCACUCACCCGCUCGCCAACCGCCGGAGUCCCAAGUCCCGCCGGCGCCGUGACCCGCCGCCAGGAGCUCGUGUUCAAGCCGCGACGACUGCCUCCUCCGCACAGCACCCCGCGCGUCCAAAUCCCUCCUCCUCCUCUGGUUUUACGAGACCUUGCGGCAUUGUUUUUGCCACCGUUCCUUUCUUUGGUCGAUUCGUGUACGCCUCAUCCUCCUGACCUCUGUUUGAGGUUUAUAGUUUGGUUCCUUGUUGAAAUCAUUAGUUUGUACCUAUAUGAACUGGUUAGAUUGAGCGUAAAUUCAUGAUGUGGGAUUAUUGCUGGUCGAACCGUACGGGGAAAGAUCAAGACGAAGGGAUGAAAAAAAGUCACGUUUGUUUCUGUUACCCAUUUUUUUUUUAUGCUCUCAGGAACAGGCCAUUAGCCCUGGAUGUGGCCCAGGGAGUUUGGCGGGGAAGGGAGCAGGUGCGAUCGUUCGUUGCACCCGCGUGGUUCCUCCAAUUAGUACCACCUCGUGUAUCUCUACUCCUAAUGGAGCAGUUGGUGAAUAGUCCGCGCGGUUUAUUUUUGCUGGUUUAUUUUCGUCAUCCUCCAACCACCGUUUUUUUCGUCAUCAUCCCAUCUGUGCCAAAAAACCUUUGCCAAAAAUUGGAAGAAGAACGAACGGAAAAAACCGGACGAAGCGGGAGCGAGCCCCCUCGCAGGAACAAGAGAUCCAGGCCCCCUCCCACGAGCAAAAAACCGGAGGAGGCUGCCCUCAAUCUAAUCGCUACAGCGAUGGGAACCACGCCCCAGCUGCCAUCGCCGAUCUAUUCGCUACGUGGAGGAUCCCUUUGCCGGCGCCGAGGUGCCAGAGAAGCCGCCGCCGAGUUGUUAGAGGAGCCGCCGCCGCCGUGGGGCCGCCGCAGCCGAGGUCCUCCAUCGCCACCCCGGCCCCGGCCAUCCAGGUGCCGCCGACCCACCCACGCCGCCGCCCCACGCGCGUGGUCUGCCCCUCCUCGCCUCCAUGCGCCGCUGCCGCCCACGCACGCCAUCUGCCCCUGCAAACCUCCACGUGUCGCCGAUGAGUUCGUCGUUGCCGAUGGGAUCGCCGCAAGGUGAGUUGAAUCAACCUAGCACAGAACGCGGUGAUUGGGAGAUGGGAUCUUCUGUUGCCCGGGGAUGUACAUCUGAUUUUAAGAAUAUUAUCUGAGUCCUGCGUCCCUUUAGCCUCCUCCCCUCCAACGUCUAUGGCUCUGUGAUGUGCCGUGUUAGUUACCCAUUUACACCGUCUUUUUUUCCCGAGAUUGAUGCGGUGUUUGUUCUCCGUAUCGUGCAUGAGGAGGGAGAAGCACAGGGAGAAAGGGGACCAUGGGCGAUGCUAUUGUGCACUGAUAUGUGAGAGGAUGGAUAUCUAAUAAUCACUUCAUUUUUCCUGUUAAACAAAAUCAGCCAACCAUAUUUAACAAAAUCCCAAUACUAAUUGUUGCAUGAUUUGGAUUAAUUAUCAGUGGUCUGGCAUUUUGUAUGCCUACAGAUUGUUCCUUUUUGGGUUGCACCUUCAUUGUAGAUGAUACGAGGUACGUGUUUUAUCUUUCUCUCUCAGUUUUGAACAAUGGGCAGGUUUGAAAAUAAUGUUCUGUCAGUCAAAUUUGUUGGCAUGAGCAUGAGGCACAUCCAUAGCAAUGAUUUGGAUCUGUCAUUGGUCGUCAACUGAAAUAGUCACUAGGCUCCCUUGUGUAGUUUCAAGUAGUCAGAGGGCCCUUUGUAUACUCAAUAAUGUUUACGUUGCAAUAAUUGGUCAAAAAUGGACCUGGAUGUUACACACAAGUAGGAAUAUAUAUUUACCAAAUAUGACCUCAGCUUGUAAACAGUUGAAAAGGGAGCAAUGGCAGCGUCUAAUAUUAGGUUUCCUCCCUUGAGCUUGAUAUACAUUGUUAGUAUAUAUACUCAUGUGUGUUUUCUCCUGCAGAUUGGUAGACUAAUAUAUGUCCAACCAGUGAAAGAAAAUAACAUAAAUGAAUUCUGAGCUUUCUUGCAAUAUUCACCCGCUUGCCGUUGUUUCGUAUAUGUACAUAUAAAAUCAGGUGUUACAAAAGAAGGUUGAUGAAGAUUAUAUUAUCUAAUCAGCAACUGAUCUGGUACAAUAAAGAAGCAGCAAAUGAGCUAGAAAAAAUCAGUCUGGAGAUGAAUAAAUCCGGCAUCUUGAUGUUUCAUAUCUAUUGGUUCCUUGUUUGGCAGCCUAUGUUGGUAGAUGUGAGAGCUCCAAAUAUGGAAGCAGCCAGCGUGCGAAAGAUUAAAGGAUGCAUUGCUACAGUGAAAACAUUCAGUGGGCGACCAACAACCAGAAUGUCAUUGCUUUUAUCAUGGCAUCCAACACUUGCAGAUGUGACAUAAAAGGGGGUUCUGAAGCUGAUGAACUUGGAUGGCCUGACAGUCUACCAUACCAACGACCAUCUCCAAGUACACGAACUUGAAAACUUUCUAAGAUUCGUACACACCUUCAGGUAAAGAUCAGAAAGCGGACAAUGUUUCUAUUAUGUUUCAGGAAAAAUUUGGAUCUUUUUGGUCGGUUAUUGCAACCAUCUGUCUGAAUGAGUAUAAAAACAAUGCUAUGAGGACAAAGAGGAGAUAAAAGGAGUAUUGGAAAGCUUAAAACCAGCCCCCCGAAACCACUCUGCCUGGAGAAAGAAGACAAUAUCUGGCAUGAUCCGAUCAAUCAGUGAUAGAUCAAAUAGCUUAUUCCGCAUUGUCAUACACAAUGCGGUAUAAUUAGAAAAAUACACAAUGCCAUCUUUUCCUGUGAGCCCGAGUCCAUUAUCUUGCCCUGUGGCAAAGAAAUAUAUUUCAAGUUUCUUGGGUGCGUCUGUUAGCUGCUAAGGUGGAUUUAAUUAGGUAGCUUAUUGAUCUCAAGAACUCUUCAAUCUCAUAUGGCUGUCGCCCUUUCCAGCCGACAUAGAAAGAAAAACUCAAUGGUGAUCCGAACAUCUAGAGCCACUUCUAAUCUAUGGGAGCUCAAUUCUAUUUUUUAACAAGAAUGUGAGUUUGGAUGCAGUCUUCAGAUGAAUCAAGCCUGAGAUCCAUAGGCGUCGUUGGCUAAUUAGCUGUUGAGUUCCAAAGAUGCAAAGUAUUUUGUACCUUCCAUAUGGAAAUACUUGUCACAGAAAUGGACAAAAAUGGAUGUAUCUAGAACUAAAAUAUGUCUAGAUACAUCCAUUUCUCCUACAAUAAUUCCGGACGGAGAGAGUAUGUUUCAUGAAAGAAUAUUAACGGAGACAACAACUUAUGAUAAUU